AUUCCCUCUCUCUUCGUGCCUAAUACAUGCAAGUCGAGCGAACAGACGAGGAGCUUGCUCCUCUGACGUUAGCGGCGGACGGGUGAGUAACACGUGGAUAACCUACCUAUAAGACUGGGAUAACUUCGGGAAACCGGAGCUAAUACCGGAUAAUAUAUUGAACCGCAUGGUUCAAUAGUGAAAGACGGUUUUGCUGUCACUUAUAGAUGGAUCCGCGCCGCAUUAGCUAGUUGGUAAGGUAACGGCUUACCAAGGCAACGAUGCGUAGCCGACCUGAGAGGGUGAUCGGCCACACUGGAACUGAGACACGGUCCAGACUCCUACGGGAGGCAGCAGUAGGGAAUCUUCCGCAAUGGGCGAAAGCCUGACGGAGCAACGCCGCGUGAGUGAUGAAGGUCUUCGGAUCGUAAAACUCUGUUAUUAGGGAAGAACAAAUGUGUAAGUAACUAUGCACGUCUUGACGGUACCUAAUCAGAAAGCCACGGCUAACUACGUG
rnacentral:rRNA from 1 species